rnacentral:rRNA from 1 species
CUAACAAGGAUUCCCCUAGUAACUGCGAGUGAAGCGGGAAAAGCUCAAAUUUGAAAUCUGGCAGUCUAUUUUUUCUUCUUUGGCUGUCCGAGUUGUAAUCUAGAGAAGUGCUUACCUGCACUGGACCAUGUAUAAGUCUCCUGGAAUGGAGCGUCACAGAGGGUGAGAAUCCCGUCUUUGACAUGGACUGCCAGUGUGUUGUGGUGUGCUCUCAAAGAGUCGAGUUGUUUGGGAAUGCAGCUCUAAAUGGGUGGUAAACUCCAUCUAAAGCUAAAUAUUGGCGAGAGACCGAUAGCGAACAAGUACCGUGAGGGAAAGAUGAAAAGGACUUUGGAAAGAGAGUUAAACAGUAUGUGAAAUUGUUGAAAGGGAAACGCUUGAAGUCAGUUAUGUCGGCUAGGGAUCAACCUAGCUCUUUUGCUGGGUGAAUUUCCUAGUCUGACAGGCCAACAUCAGUCUUGACUGCUGGAAAAGAGCAGAGGGAAUGUGGCACCUUCGGGUGUGUUAUAGCCCUUUGUCAUAUGCAGCAGUUGGGACUGAGGGAUGCAGCGUGCCGCGAGGCUGGGUUUCGACCACGUUCACGCUUAGGAUGUUGGCUUUUAAUGGCUUCAAUCGACCCGUCUUGAAACACGGACCAAGGAGUCUAACAUGCCUGCAAGUGUUUGGGUGGAAAACCCUUGCGCACAAUGAAAGUGAAAGUUGAGAUCCCUGUCAUGGGGAGCAUCGACGCCCGGACUUGAGCUUUUAGCAACGGAUCCGCGGUAGAGCAUGCAUGUUGGGACCCGAAAGAUGGUGAACUAUGCCUGAAUAGGGCAAAGCCAGAGGAAACUCUGGUGGAGGCUCGUAGCGAUUCUGACGUGCAAAUCGAUCGUCAAAUUUGGGUAUAGGGGCGAAAGACUAAUCG